UCUGUCACAGGAUACAAAGUUCAAAAAGUUCAACUAUUAAUUAUUUACACUCUGUUUAUAUUUAGAUUAAAGUCAAGGUAUCUGUGUUUUAUUAGAUCUCCGUUACAGGUGUGACAUGGAGGUAACAGCAGAGUUUUUUCUGCCGUAUAAAUUCUC